UUUAAGGGAACUGUUUUAUGUCUCAGACGCUAAAAUAACAUUUCCAUCUUUGUCUGCUACAAAUUAAGGUAGUUUAGAGACUAACAACAUGUAGAUGUCUGUCUAAAUUAAACUAUAUAUAAAAAAGAUGGUUCUUUACAUGUAGUAACGGUUCUAUUUAGAACCACAGCACCCCGAAGAACCCUUUUAUGCUUAAAUGGUUCUUUGUGUUAGAGUUUAGGGUUCUUUAUUCCCGCCCUUUUGUUUUUCAAAUCUGUAACUGUCAAAGCUCCUCAUUACUGACUUUCUGGAGCUCAGUGAUCCAACUACAGACCGUCAACAUACUCUCAACAGUUUAAGAGCACAUGUGUGGCCAGCUCUGUUCAGUUAAGGAUACUUCUUUCUCCAUCUCCACUAAAUGAUGUCACAUCCUAAAACCUCUUCAUCUGCAGAGAGAAACUGCACUCAAUCACACCAAAAAUACACAUAAUGAUGGACUUACAGGCAUCAUAGAGGAUUGUGAAAAUACAGUAUUUCACUUGAAUUUGCUCUUCAUUGUCUAAAUUGUCAUUUAUUAAUGUAUUCUGCUAAUAAUGGUUUUUAGAUCACUGUCAUUUUUGCUACAAUUUCACAAGUCAUUAAAUGAAAAAUAAAAUAAAAUAAAAUACCUAAGUGACAUGCUGUUGUUGUUUUUAUGAAAACAUUAUUAGACACUGUAAGAUAUUACAAGACCAGGCCGGGGGUAAAAAAACAACAAAAAUCCAACAAUAAUAAUAAAUGAUUUAUUCAAAUAAUAUUAAUAAAACUAAUAUCAAUGAUAUAAAUAUACUUAUAAAUAAAAAUAAACUAUCAUUAAAAAGGCUAUUUAUAGCACCUUUAAGGUUCUAUAUAGCACUUUUAAAGCAUGGUUCUUUAUGGAACCCUAUAAAAAGGGUUCUAUUUAGCACCAAAAGGGUUCUGCUAUUAUUACAAGCUGAAGAACCCUUUUCUGGUACUGUUUAGAACCAUUUUUCUUAAGAGUGUAGAGUCAAUCACACUCAGUGCUUGACCGGAACAUUAUUUUAUGUUUGUUGUAGUAAUCAGAUUUUCUGGUUCAAAUUAACUACGGCACCCCAU